rnacentral:lncRNA from 1 species
CCCAAAUUACAAACUCAAAUCCAACUACAUCAGAUCCACUAAGCCCAAAUAUUACAAACCCAAUACCUAAGUCCAUUACCUUAACCCACUAGCCUAAAACAACAAAAAAACAAACACAGAAACCCUAAGCGGCUAGCAGCAAACCAGCGCCGCAUGCCCCACGUCACAGCAACCUCGCCCACGUUCAGCAGCCUCCGUGCAUGCCACGCACGUCUUCUCGCCAAUAUCCACCUGCAAAAAAACCACGAACAGCAAGCGAGAGGCAAUAAUAGGAAAAAAUAUGACAAAAAUGUAAAAGUGGGUAGUUUUUGAGAGUUUUUUUUUUG